rnacentral:tRNA from 1 species
AGUGUUGUGGCUCAGUGGUAGAGCGCUUGCCUAGCACAUGCAAGGCCCUGGGUUCAAUCCUCAGCACCAUAU